rnacentral:rRNA from 1 species
CCUACGGGAGGCAGCAGUGGGGAAUCUUGCACAAUGGGCGAAAGCCUGAUGCAGCAACGCCGCGUGAGCGAAGAAGGCCUUUGGGUCGUAAAGCUCUGUCCUAAGGGAAGAAGGAAGUGACGGUACCUUAGGAGGAAGCCCCGGCUAACUACGUGCCAGCAGCCGCGGUAAUACGUAGGGGGCAAGCGUUAUCCGGAAUUAUUGGGCGUAAAGAGUACGUAGGCGGUUCUUUAAGCGUAGGGUCUAAGGCGAUGGCUUAACCAUCGUUCGCCCUGUGAACUGGAGGACUUGAGUAUCGGAGAGGAAAGCGGAAUUCCUAGUGUAGCGGUGAAAUGCGUAGAUAUUAGGAGGAACACCAGUGGCGAAGGCGGCUUUCUGGACGAAAACUGACGCUGAGGUACGAAAGCGUGGGGAGCAAACAGGAUUAGAUACCCCAGUAGUC